rnacentral:rRNA from 1 species
UUAAGCGACUAAGCGUACACGGUGGAUGCCCUGGCAGUCAGAGGCGAUGAAGGACGUGCUAAUCUGCGAUAAGCGUCGGUAAGGUGAUAUGAACCGUUAUAACCGGCGAUUUCCGAAUGGGGAAACCCAGUGUGAUUCGUCACACUAUCAUUAACUGAAUCCAUAGGUUAAUGAGGCGAACCGGGGGAACUGAAACAUCUAAGUACCCCGAGGAAAAGAAAUCAACCGAGAUUCCCCCAGUAGCGGCGAGCGAACGGGGAGCAGCCCAGAGCCUGAAUCAGUGUGUGUGUUAGUGGAAGCGUCUGGAAAGGCGCGCGAUACAGGGUGACAGCCCCGUACACAAAAAUGCACAUGCUGUGAGCUCGAUGAGUAGGGCGGGACACGUGGUAUCCUGUCUGAAUAUGGGGGGACCAUCCUCCAAGGCUAAAUACUCCUGACUGACCGAUAGUGAACCAGUACCGUGAGGGAAAGGCGAAAAGAACCCCGGCGAGGGGAGUGAAAAAGAACCUGAAACCGUGUACGUACAAGCAGUGGGAGCACGCUUCGGCGUGUGACUGCGUACCUUUUGUAUAAUGGGUCAGCGACUUAUAUUCUGUAGCAAGGUUAACCGAAUAGGGGAGCCGAAGGGAAACCGAGUCUUAACUGGGCGUUAAGUUGCAGGGUAUAGACCCGAAACCCGGUGAUCUAGCCAUGGGCAGGUUGAAGGUUGGGUAACACUAACUGGAGGACCGAACCGACUAAUGUUGAAAAAUUAGCGGAUGACUUGUGGCUGGGGGUGAAAGGCCAAUCAAACCGGGAGAUAGCUGGUUCUCCCCGAAAGCUAUUUAGGUAGCGCCUCGUGAAUUCAUCUCCGGGGGUAGAGCACUGUUUCGGCAAGGGGGUCAUCCCGACUUACCAACCCGAUGCAAACUGCGAAUACCGGAGAAUGUUAUCACGGGAGACACACGGCGGGUGCUAACGUCCGUCGUGAAGAGGGAAACAACCCAGACCGCCAGCUAAGGUCCCAAAGUCAUGGUUAAGUGGGAAACGAUGUGGGAAGGCCCAGACAGCCAGGAUGUUGGCUUAGAAGCAGCCAUCAUUUAAAGAAAGCGUAAUAGCUCACUGGUCGAGUCGGCCUGCGCGGAAGAUGUAACGGGGCUAAACCAUGCACCGAAGCUGCGGCAGCGACACUAUGUGUUGUUGGGUAGGGGAGCGUUCUGUAAGCCUGUGAAGGUGUACUGUGAGGUAUGCUGGAGGUAUCAGAAGUGCGAAUGCUGACAUAAGUAACGAUAAAGCGGGUGAAAAGCCCGCUCGCCGGAAGACCAAGGGUUCCUGUCCAACGUUAAUCGGGGCAGGGUGAGUCGACCCCUAAGGCGAGGCCGAAAGGCGUAGUCGAUGGGAAACAGGUUAAUAUUCCUGUACUUGGUGUUACUGCGAAGGGGGGACGGAGAAGGCUAUGUUGGCCGGGCGACGGUUGUCCCGGUUUAAGCGUGUAGGCUGGUUUUCCAGGCAAAUCCGGAAAAUCAAGGCUGAGGCGUGAUGACGAGGCACUAUGGUGCUGAAGCAACAAAUGCCCUGCUUCCAGGAAAAGCCUCUAAGCAUCAGGUAACACCAAAUCGUACCCCAAACCGACACAGGUGGUCAGGUAGAGAAUACCAAGGCGCUUGAGAGAACUCGGGUGAAGGAACUAGGCAAAAUGGUGCCGUAACUUCGGGAGAAGGCACGCUGAUAUGUAGGUGAAGCGACUUGCUCGUGGAGCUGAAAUCAGUCGAAGAUACCAGCUGGCUGCAACUGUUUAUUAAAAACACAGCACUGUGCAAACACGAAAGUGGACGUAUACGGUGUGACGCCUGCCCGGUGCCGGAAGGUUAAUUGAUGGGGUCAGCGCAAGCGAAGCUCUUGAUCGAAGCCCCGGUAAACGGCGGCCGUAACUAUAACGGUCCUAAGGUAGCGAAAUUCCUUGUCGGGUAAGUUCCGACCUGCACGAAUGGCGUAAUGAUGGCCAGGCUGUCUCCACCCGAGACUCAGUGAAAUUGAACUCGCUGUGAAGAUGCAGUGUACCCGCGGCAAGACGGAAAGACCCCGUGAACCUUUACUAUAGCUUGACACUGAACAUUGAGCCUUGAUGUGUAGGAUAGGUGGGAGGCUUUGAAGUGUGGACGCCAGUCUGCAUGGAGCCGACCUUGAAAUACCACCCUUUAAUGUUUGAUGUUCUAACGUUGACCCGUAAUCCGGGUUGCGGACAGUGUCUGGUGGGUAGUUUGACUGGGGCGGUCUCCUCCUAAAGAGUAACGGAGGAGCACGAAGGUUGGCUAAUCCUGGUCGGACAUCAGGAGGUUAGUGCAAUGGCAUAAGCCAGCUUGACUGCGAGCGUGACGGCGCGAGCAGGUGCGAAAGCAGGUCAUAGUGAUCCGGUGGUUCUGAAUGGAAGGGCCAUCGCUCAACGGAUAAAAGGUACUCCGGGGAUAACAGGCUGAUACCGCCCAAGAGUUCAUAUCGACGGCGGUGUUUGGCACCUCGAUGUCGGCUCAUCACAUCCUGGGGCUGAAGUAGGUCCCAAGGGUAUGGCUGUUCGCCAUUUAAAGUGGUACGCGAGCUGGGUUUAGAACGUCGUGAGACAGUUCGGUCCCUAUCUGCCGUGGGCGCUGGAGAACUGAGGGGGGCUGCUCCUAGUACGAGAGGACCGGAGUGGACGCAUCACUGGUGUUCGGGUUGUCAUGCCAAUGGCACUGCCCGGUAGCUAAAUGCGGAAGAGAUAAGUGCUGAAAGCAUCUAAGCACGAAACUUGCCCCGAGAUGAGUUCUCCCUGACUCCUUGAGAGUCCUGAAGGAACGUUGAAGACGACGACGUUGAUAGGCCGGGUGUGUAAGCGCAGCGAUGCGUUGAGCUAACCGGUACUAAUGAACCGUGAGGCUUAACCUU